AAAACUUUCAACAACGGAUCUCUUGGUUCUCACAUCGAUGAAGAACGCAGCAAAGCGCGAUAGGUAAUGCGAAUUGCAGACGUGAGUCAUUGAAUCUUUGAACGCACAUUGCGCUUCUAGGAUCUCCUAGUAGCAUGCUUGUUGGAGCGCCGAACUUUCUCUC
rnacentral:rRNA from 1 species